GAUGAAGAACGCAGCGAAAUGCGAUAAGUAAUGUGAAUUGCAGAAUUCAGUGAAUCAUCGAAUCUUUGAACGCACAUUGCGCCCGGUAGUAUUCUGGCGGGCAUGCCUGUUCGAGCGUCAUUUCAACCAUCAAGCCCUGCUUGUGUUGGGGUCCUGCGGCUGCCCGCAGGCCCUGAAAACCAGUGGCGGGCUCGCUAGUCACACCGAGCGCAGUAGCACAUCUCGCUCAGGGCGUGCGGCGGGCUCCAGCCGUUAAAGCACCCACCUUUCGCAAGGUUGACCUCGGAUCAGGUAGGAAUACCCGCUGAACUUAAGCAUAUCAAUAAGCGGAGGA
rnacentral:misc_RNA from 1 species